UGCCCUGUCCUGGUCAUUUCCUUUCUUCCCAUCCACAUUCUUCAGGCAGUUAAAGAGCCCAAGGGGUCCUCAGAGUCUUUGGGGCCUUCAGCAUAAUCAGCCUAGGCGUUCCCUGGGGGCCUAAUGAUUAAGGAUCCAGCAUUGUCACUGCUGUGGCUACAAUCGCUGCUGUGGUGUGGGUUUGAUCCUUGGCCUGGGAACUUCCACACGCCAGGGGCGCAAGAACAAUAAUAUCAUAAUCAGCCUAAAUUAAUCCUUCUGCCUAAGAGUCACAUUUGGGGGCGGAAACGUUUGCUCCCCUACUGUAUUUCCACUGUCACUUGAAUUGGUCCCCUCCUCUCUCACGCUGACACAUCCCCCUACUUCCAAUGCCCACCUCUCAGAUCCAACCACCUAUCAACCUCAUUCUUCCAAAUCCCACCAUUCAACCCUCCUCCCUAAAACCAGGGGCUGCCAGGUGCCUCUAAGGGGCAGGCCCAAGCAGAGCUCCAGAACCUUCCUGAGAGGCCUGAGGGAAUGGGGGAAGUCCCACGCCUGGUUUAGAGGAGGCAGCCGUACCCUGGCACCAACUUCCUGCAGGAGCACAAGUCCAGUGAUGUCACAUCUGCCCGGGCUUCCAAGAAAGGCUAGAAAGGUCCUGACUUUAAACUUUUUAUGAAUUAAACAAAGCAAGUUCCUAGGAUUGAAAAACAACCAUCUCGUGGCCACCAGCGUGCAAGCUCCAGCCCUCAGGGUCAAGUGUAAGCCCAUGAGCGUGGCCUCCCUGCCCUCUGUGGUCCUGCCUAUUUGUGUUUCUGUCCCAGUCCAUCCCUUCUCCACAAAGCCCCACAUGCUCCAGCUCAAGUUAAUAGCCAGGAACCAACCCGGAGGGGACAGGUAUGCCUGGACGUGGAGUCCACGUGGAAAGUGCACCAUUUUGCUUAGAUUUGCUUAUUUAAGGUGGCUCCGAAGGGGAUACGGGGCACCAAGCCCCCCUUGGGCUCCUGCUCGGCCCAUGCCCUCCGGUUUCCCUCUGCAACUUAAAAAACCCCAUUUCCUUUUAGGGGCUGUUCCGCUAUGUUCUUAUCCACCCAGCAAACUGGGGUCCGCCUUCAACCCGGCUCCACCUUCAACCCGGCUCCGCCUUCAACCCGGCUCCGCCUUAAACUCCACUUAGAUUUCCCUGAAGACGCCCCACAAAGAACCCCCCCCCCCGCCUUUACUCUGUACUUUGCACGCAUCCCGCUGUAACACAUGGCAUAAUGUCGUGUGUUUAGUGCUUCUGGCACCCGGCUCCCCUUUCCCGCCGUGAACUCACGGGGGAGGCGGGGGUGCUGUCAUGUGGUACCUGUGUCCUCGGGGCCGGUUUAUACAGCCUUCCUCCUACUCUGUAUUCCGAUGUCUCGAAUUAUCCAUCACACUUCCGCCAACACCCAGACAUCCAGUAACUGCUUGUCGAAAGGAAACCAAAAGAAGAUCUGAGACUCCACGUGGCCGGGCUCCAGGCUCACAACUUCCUUGGAGCCGCGCCCCCUGCCACCUGCCUCGCCCGCUUCCUAACCCAGAUUCCGCGCCGCGGGUCAGGGCCGCGGGGCUGCAGGUGGCCGGCAGAGCGCAGUUAGGCGCGGCCGCGUCUGGCCAAGUAGGAAAGGGGACCGCUGGGUCUGAAUGCCCAGACGCGCUCUGUGCCCAGCAGAAGCGAGAGGACGUAGGAUGCGGUGGCCCCGCCUGGGAGGGGCGGGGCCUGUGGGGCGGAGGUGGCAGAGGGGGUCGCUCCCAGACAGCAGCGGGGAUUCCUGCCGAGACGGGAGUCCUGGGAAGGGCCUGGCGCUGGGGGUGGAUGCGACAAGCUUCUCUUUCUGGCCAAAGUCGUGGGUGGGGUGUGGGGUGACCUCUGAGAUGCCUGGCCUUGUGGGCAAGAGGAGCGUGGGCUGGGACCCCCGCGGAUCCUCCUGUGCUGGGCUGAAAGCGGCGAGGAUGCCCUGCACCCUGGGGUCGGCUCCAUCUGCCAGAACCCCGACAGUGCCUUGUGCCCAGGUGCCGGGCAGGUGAGGGAGGAGUGACUUCUGACUGGGUCUGACCUGUAUCCUGGACUUGAAGGACCCGUGUCAAUCCGCAGGAGGGGACCGGGGUGGCCCAGGAGUCUUUCCUGGGAUCCCAAGCCUGGGGGGGAGGGGGUUUCCACCGGGGCGGCAAGAAGUGUUUGGAAAAUGUCCCCUUAACCAGAAAAGGGAUCUUGCCGUUGAUAUUUGAAACCCCUGGGGGAAAUGUCUUCUUUGUAGCAGGGACUUUGGGGUGGGGCGUUAUUUUGUGUUUACUUUGCAUUAUUUUAAUGCACGUUUUAUUUGCAUUACUUCUGUUAAUCCUCCUAGUGCCUCUGGGGAGAGGCACCGUUUUCAACUAUCAGAAACUUGUGCUUGCAGGUGCCCAGCUGCGUCGAUGAGGUGCCCCCCCAACACACACACCUGCACGUGCACACACGCCCUGCUUUCCUUCAGGUGGGUUGCGGUCCUUUCAGGCCUCUGUCCGGCGCCCUUGGAGGGAGGAGGUUAGGGUGAGGUGGAGGUGGGGGGAGCAGAGGAGAAGAGGGGGAGGCUGCCUUUGCCCCGGAGGGCUUGGGUCUGGCUGGAGUGGGGCUGGGGAUAAAAGGGCCUGAGGCCCAUUGGAUUUUCCGAGAAAGACUCAGAGGCUCCCAGGCAGCGUUUAAGGUGGAGAAGACUUUCCUCCCCAUCCUGUUGAAACAGCAUCCCUCUCGAGUUCCCUGGUGGCCUAGCAGUUAAGGACGCAGCAUUGUCACCACUGUGGCACAGGUUCAGUCUCCGGCUCUGGAAAUUCCACGUGUCCUGGGCACAGCCAAAAAAAAAAAAAAAAAAAAAGUAGGAAGCAGCAUUGCUCUGGUGCCCCUCGGGCAGGGAGACUCAAACGAGCCCUAAAAAGCAUGCUUUGGGCAAUCCAGUGUCCCGCCGUCUCCUGGAAAUCCAGCAGAAACAAGUCUGGCUGGGGGUGGGGACAAGUGCAGAAGAGGCAGCGGGGGACGGGUACACAACCUAGAAUAGAUUUACAAGGAGAUCCUGCUGAAUAGCAUUGAGAACUAUGUCUAGAUACUCAUGUCGCAACAGAAGAAAGGGUGGGGGAAAAAUGUAACUGCAAUGUAUACAUGUAAGGAUAACCUGACCCCCUUGCUGUACAGU
rnacentral:lncRNA from 1 species